rnacentral:lncRNA from 1 species
UUUCUAGGAAGGUCUUCAGUAAACGAGUGACUGUAUUAUAGUCUUAAACAUUAGUCCUUUAAAAUAUUUUUGGUUUUGACUUUCACUGACUUGCUUCAUCUGGGCAAGGUGACUGGUUUUUCUAAGCCUCCUUUUCACGAAGCAAAAUUGAGUAUAGUUGAUGUAAUAGACUACAGUAACUAUUGUUAUUUGCCCAGCAAGAUUUCCCAACACCUUUCUUGGGUUAAUAUUUCCUGCCCCAGGAGUCCUUCCCUGGGAUACCUUGAUUUGCAGCCUAAGGAGGAACAGCGAUGCCCUCGAAGUCAGGUGCUAAAGGCGUAUGAAGGCGCCAAGUCCAUCUUCCCACUCUCUGAAUCUAGGUUGCACUGGCGGUUCUGCGUUGGCCGAUACGAUGUGGCAGAAGAGACAGUGUGCCAAUUUCAGCCCUUGUGUGUUUCUACUCGCUCUGUCGGGACUCCUGCCUCUGCCGUGUCAACAAGUCCGGGUGGGCUUGCCGGAGAACGUGAGACCGCGCGGACCAGGGCUGAGUCAGCUCAGCUGUCCCAGCAGAGGCUUCACACAUGUGGGAGAGCCCACCCCCCACCAGCAAAGCCGAUCUGUAGCCCCAGAUGCACGAAGGAACCCCACGGAAGAACCGCCACACAGAGCCCAGGCUGUGGCUCUAGGAACAGGAGCUACAUAAAAGCUGGCAUGAAGCAGCUGCAUUUUGAAGUUGUUUGCUAUACAAGAGCAAUGAUUGCUAACGGGUGUGAUAUAUUAUUUAUUAUUCAUAAUAAGAAGUAGUCAUAGCCACAAAGUCGGACUCCAAAAGCAGUUAAGAGCCUCAUCACCGCGAUCUCUAAGCAGAAGCUUUGUGGUUCCCAUACUGCGCCUGUGAAAUGAUCCUGAGUAGGAUUUUCAAUUCUACAAUUCUGAAGUUCUGCAUAAUGAUGGUUUUAUUUCUCUAUCAUUAAAAAAUUUUUUUUUAACAUUUAUUCAUUUUUGAGAGACAGAGACAGUGUGAGCAGGGGAGGAACAGAGAGAGAGGGAGACACAGAAUCUGAAGCAGGCUCCAAGCUGUCAGCACGGAGCCCGAUGUGGGGCUCGAACCCACAGACUGUGAGAUCAUGACCUGAGCCGUAGUCAGACGCUCAACCGACUGAGCCACCCAGGGGCCCCUCUCUAUCAUUUUGUAAAAGCAGUCUCCAUGCCCAACAUGGGGCUUGAGCUCACGACCCUGAGGUCAGGAGUCACAUGCUCUCCUAACCGAGCCAGCCAGGUGCCCUAUCAUUCUAGAUGCAGAUAAACACAUUUAAAAACAUAUUGGUCUAGGGGCACCUGGGUGGGUCAGUCGGUUGAGUGUCUGACUCUUGAUUUUGGCCCAGGUCAUGAUCUCACGGUCUUGGGAUCAAGCCCCACACCAGGAUCCACGCUUCACAUGGACCCUGCUUGAGAUACUCUCUCUCUCUCUCUCUCUCUGCCUUUCUCCCCUGCUUACGCACACACUGUCUCUCAAAAUAAAUUAAUAAAUAAAUAAAAAUUUUAAAAAACA